GAUUGAACGCUGGCGGCAGGCCUAACACAUGCAAGUCGAACGGUAACAGGAAGCAGCUUGCUGCUUUGCUGACGAGUGGCGGACGGGUGAGUAAUGUCUGGGAAACUGCCUGAUGGAGGGGGAUAACUACUGGAAACGGUGGCUAAUACCGCAUAACGUCGCAAGACCAAAGAGGGGGACCUUCGGGCCUCUUGCCAUCAGAUGUGCCCAGAUGGGAUUAGCUUGUUGGUGAGGUAACGGCUCACCAAGGCGACGAUCCCUAGCUGGUCUGAGAGGAUGACCAGCCACACUGGAACUGAGACACGGUCCAGACUCCUACGGGAGGCAGCAGUGGGGAAUAUUGCACAAUGGGCGCAAGCCUGAUGCAGCCAUGCCGCGUGUAUGAAGAAGGCCUUCGGGUUGUAAAGUACUUUCAGCGGGGAGGAAGGUGUUGUGGUUAAUAACCGCAGCAAUUGACGUUACCCGCAGAAGAAGCACCGGCUAACUCCGUGCCAGCAGCCGCGGUAAUACGGAGGGUGCAAGCGUUAAUCGGAAUUACUGGGCGUAAAGCGCACGCAGGCGGUCUGUCAAGUCGGAUGUGAAAUCCCCGGGCUCAACCUGGGAACUGCAUUCGAAACUGGCAGGCUUGAGUCUUGUAGAGGGGGG
rnacentral:rRNA from 1 species